rnacentral:rRNA from 1 species
CCUACGGGGGGCUGCAGUGAGGAAUAUUGGUCAAUGGACGCAAGUCUGAACCAGCCAUGCCGCGUGCAGGAAGACGGCUCUAUGAGUUGUAAACUGCUUUUGUACGAGGGUAAACGCAGAUACGCGUAUCUGUCUGCAAGUAUCGUACGAAUAAGGAUCGGCUAACUCCGUGCCAGCAGCCGCGGUAAUACGGAGGAUUCAAGCGUUAUCCGGAUUUAUUGGGUUUAAAGGGUGCGUAGGCGGUCGGAUAAGUUAGAGGUGAAAUCCCGAGGCUCAACUUCGGAAUUGCCUCGGAUACUGUUCGGCUAGAGAGUAGUUGCGGUAGGCGGAAUGUAUGGUGUAGCGGUGAAAUGCUUAGAGAUCAUACAGAACACCGAUUGCGAAGGCAGCUUACCAAGCUACGUCUGACGUUGAGGCACGAAAGCGUGGGGAGCAAACAGGAUUAGAUACCCCUGUAGUC